GACCUGGUGGUGCAUGGUGCACACCCAUCCAACUUCAGUAUAAUGAAUCAAAAAUUCAGUGGGAGAUCCUCGUUCGAAUCGGGGCCAGGUCG